rnacentral:rRNA from 1 species
CAUGUAGGCGGGGAAACAAGUCAGAUGUGAAAUACUGCGGCUCAACUGCAGAAUUGCAUCUGAAACUGUAUCUCUUGAGUACUGGAGAGGAAAGCGGAAUUCCUAGUGUAGCGGUGAAAUGCGUAGAUAUUAGGAGGAACACCGGUGGCGAAGGCGGCUUUCUGGACAGUAACUGACGCUGAGAUGCGAAAGCGUGGGGAGCAAACA